rnacentral:misc_RNA from 1 species
GAUGAAGAACGCAGCGAAAUGCGAUAAGUAAUGUGAAUUGCAGAACUCAGUGAAUCAUCGAAUCUUUGAACGCACAUUGCGCCCCCUGGCCUUCCGGGGGGCAUGCCUGUUCGAGCGUCAUUAUAACCCCUCAAGCUCAGCUUGGUGUUGGGGCCUGCUGCACUGGCAGCCCUUAAAAUCAGUGGCGGCGCCAUCUGGCUCUAAGCGUAGUAAUUCUUCUCGCUAUGGAGUCCUGGUGGAUGCUUGCCAUCAACCCCCAAUUUUUCUAUGGUUGACCUCGGAUCAGGUAGGGAUACCCGCUGAACUUAAGCAUAUCAAUAAGCGGAGGA